AGAGACUUAGGAUAAUACUAGACCAAAGGCCUUCAAAGCCUUAAGUGGGAGUGAGAAUCUCCCAGCCUCUG
rnacentral:tRNA from 1 species